rnacentral:rRNA from 1 species
GUCUACGGCCAUACCACCCUGAACGCGCCCGAUCUCGUCUGAUCUCAGAAGCUAAGCAGGGUCGGGCCUGGUUAGUACUUGGAUGGGAGACAAUUUGUGAACACAGGCAAUCUUGUUUU